rnacentral:tRNA from 1 species
ACCGCGAUGGCUUAACCGGUAGAGCAUCUGCUCGGUAUGCGAAGGGUUGCCGGUUCGACUCCGGCUCGCGGCG